AGGACGAACGCUGGCGGCGUGCCUAACACAUGCAAGUCGAACGAGGUCCAAGAGAGCUUGCUCUCUGAAGACCUAGUGGCGAACGGGUGAGUAACACGUGAGCAACCUGCCCUGGAAUCGGGGAUAACUCGAGGAAACUCGAGCUAAUACCGGAUACCUUCCUCUGGCCGCAUGACCGGGGGAAGAAAGAAUUUCGUUCCAGGAGGGGCUCGCGGCCUAUCAGUUAGUUGGCGGGGUAACGGCCCACCAAGACUACGACGGGUAGCUGGUUUGAGAGAACGAUCAGCCACACUGGGACUGAGACACGGCCCAGACUCCUACGGGAGGCAGCAGUGGGGAAUAUUGGACAAUGGGCGCAAGCCUGAUCCAGCAAUGCCGCGUGAGUGAAGAAAGGUCUUCGGAUUGUAAAAGCUCUUUCGACGGGGACGAUGAUGACGGUACCCGUAGAAGAAGCCCGGCUAACUUCGUAGCCAGCAGCCGCGGUAA
rnacentral:rRNA from 1 species